GACUGUGGCUUUAGUGGUUAAAACUUCCCCCUCUGAUGUGGGAGGUCGCUGGUUCGAACCCAUGCCGAGUCG